rnacentral:lncRNA from 1 species
UAUACAUACCUACACACAAUGCAUACACACCACAAACACAAACAAUACACACACACCACACAUACACAAUAUACACAAUCACACCACAUACCAUGCAUACAUAUCCACACAUGCAUACACAGCACACACACACUACAUGCCACACACAAUACCAUACACAAUACACACACCACAUACCCCUCAUACCACACACACACACACCCAUAUACAUAUACACAUGCAUAUACAACCUUCAUCCAAGACACCAUACACACAACACACACAUACAUAUACACCACACACACAACACACACACACAUAAUACACAUACAUACACAUCACGCACAUAUACAUACAUCACAUACACCUCACACUUCACAUCACACACACACACACACACACACAUAUCACGUAUACCUCACACCACAUUCACGAUGCACAUCACACACCCUAUACCUCCCCUCCCCCCAACACCACACCACAAACACGAUCUGGUCAGGAGAAAAGGUUCAGGCAUUUAGAGGUGGAGGCAACACUGAAUUUCGGAGUUCAAGU